GGCGGGAACGCCUUAGGGCGGAGGUUUGCUACAGGCGACGCUGCCGCCUCGCCGCCGUCACCGGCCGGGACCUUGCGAACUGUACUGAGGAAGUCCAGGUCAAAUAAGGAAGGAGGUAGAGCCCAGGGAUGCAGCUGUCAGACCUUGGAGAAGGAGCACUUGGAGACUAGAGUGCACAAGAUGGCUCAAAAGGGAUUAAGGAUGAAUGGAGAGAUGGGAGAUUUUGACCAGAAACUAAAAUACUGGAGUUUAAAUGGCUCAAGGCAUUCCUUAAUCUACUCAAGGUGACACCUAAGAUUAACCAUCACAGAUGGGGAUGAAGUCUGGAUUAGCGAGG